rnacentral:rRNA from 1 species
CACGUAGGGGCCAAGCGUUGUCCGGAAUUAUUGGGCGUAAAGAGCUCGUAGGCGGUCUGUCGCGUCUGCUGUGAAAACUCGGGGCUUAACCCCGGGCCUGCAGUGGGUACGGGCAGACUAGAGUGCGGUAGGGGAGACUGGAAUUCCUGGUGUAGCGGUGAAAUGCGUAGAUAUCAGGAGGAACACCGGUGGCGAAGGCGGCCCUCUGGACGGUGACUGACGCUGAGACGCGAAAGCGUGGGGAGCAAACAGG